rnacentral:rRNA from 1 species
UACAGAGGUCUCAAGCGUUGUUCGGAUUCAUUGGGCGUAAAGGGUGCGUAGGCGGCGCGGUAAGUCGGGUGUGAAAUCUUGGAGCUUAACUCCGAAACUGCAUUCGAUACUGCCGUGCUUGAGGACUGGAGAGGAGACUGGAAUUUACGGUGUAGCGGUGAAAUGCGUAGAUAAUCGUAAGGAAGACCAGUGGCGAAGGCGACUCUUUGGCCUGUAACUGACGCUGAGGCGCGAAAGCGUGGGGAGCAAACAGG